UUUGGCUUGAGGAAGAAAACUAUUAAACCCAAACCUGAAUCACGCGGUCGAAUCUCCAAAUUCUACAAAAGUAUCAGUUCUCAGAAUCCUGUUCCCAUAUGAGAUUGUGAAUUUCCGGAACUUCCAAAACAAAAUGACCAAGUAAGGGAUUCAAUGCCUACAAUACAACAAUCCGAGGGAAGAUUCAAGUUAAAAAAAAAAGCUUCUUAGACGUUUUAAGAGAUGAUUGAUGUUGACUCUUUUUGAUGGGAUGUGUGCAAUGUAAUGUGCAUUUUGUAUAGUGGAGUAUUUCAAGCACAAAAAUCUUACUUGGAUACAAGUCUUCAUAUGAUUCUAAAUUGUUGCGAGAGAGAAGAUACUUUGAACAAA